UCCUCGUUAGUAUAGUGGUGAGUAUCCCCGCCUGUCACGCGGGAGACCGGGGUUCAAUUCCCUGACGGGGAG
rnacentral:tRNA from 1 species